UACGGAGGGUGCAAGCGUUAUCCGGAAUCACUGGGUUUAAAGGGUGCGUAGGCGGCCCUGUAAGUCGGUGGUGAAAUAUCCCAGCUUAACUGGGAGGGUGGCAUUGAUACUGCGUGGCUAGAGUACAGAUGAGGUAGGCGGAAUUGACGGUGUAGCGGUGAAAUGCUUAGAUAUCGUCAAGAACACCUAUAGCGAAGGCAGCUUACUAGGCUGUAACCGACGCUGAGGCACGAAAGUGUGGGGAUCAAACAGG
rnacentral:rRNA from 1 species